GAUACCGUUUUGCGCAUCUCUGAUUUUCGCAAUCACACUGCAAGGUUUUUAUAUCACAAUAAAGUUCCUUUAAUAGAAAUAAUAAUAACAUCGUUUGAGACUCAACAAUGCUACAGUUUACAUAGGCGUCCGACAAAGCAAAGGCGCAAGGACACAUAAACAAAAAAAAACAAAAGUAUCAGAAUUGUUGCUUACCGCUGUCUAGAAAGCGUGAGGCGUAUGUUUUUCAUAUAAAUUUGGCAAGCAAGAGCCGGAUUGCGAAGACAGUAUUAAUAUUACAUGCAAUAAGCCAUCUGGUUGGAUAAAUGCUGAUAAAUGGAGGUCAACUGUGUAGUAUGGCAAGACUGCGGAGUAGUGUCCGGUAAAAACUAGCUACUCGGACAAAUGGCAGAAUUCAAAACACAUUUAUUUAAUCUGCUAAUACAAGCUAUGACAAUGAUUAACUGUGGACUGUAUGAAGCCAACCAACGAGUGGAGACACUGGCAGCCAGCUGGAUUUCAUUUUUUAGAAUAGAGCGUAUUGAUGGGUAUAGGCUAGCAAGUGUAAAUGUGCAAGCAGAUUUGCCUCGUCUUAUGCAGCAUUAGGCAUUGGUCUCCGCUCUUGCUGUGGUGGUUACUAUGAAAGGUACCAGAGGCAUAUAGGAAAUAGCUGAGCUGCUGAGAGCAGCUGGCCAUGAUAGGAUAGACGACAACAGCGGGUAAAGCGUGGACUCGGCAUGUUCUGCCACCGGACACGUGAGCAGCUUCAGGCCUGGGCAGGCAUCGAAUGCACACCAUCAGGAGUACUUGCUCACCGGAUGGCUAGGCAGCAGCAGCCUUUUAGAUCUUCCUUUUAAAACAACACUUGGAAACAAUAACAACUGUCAAUUUGGUACGGAAUAUAUUGUGUCGACUAAACAAUUUGGUUGAGAAACUCUGGUUAGAAUAAAUAGCAAGACCUACUUUAGAUGUAAAAUAGUUUGUCCUGACUAACUUACGAAAUGAUUACCAUACAAGGUUUAUUGUCCAAUAGUUUCCCCAUCGAGAGCAUUCGAUUAGUUUUUCUAUCGAUAGUGGCAUUUAACCAGAAAAAUGUAUUCAAUUAGCAUCUCUAAAAUUAGUUAUGUUCAGCCGCGCUGCUGAGCUUGCUAAUUUGAAUAAUGUGUAACAACUUCAUCGGUACAUCUUGGAGAUUGUGAAAUUAAAAUAAAGUAAGUUUACGUGUUCGUAAACGUAGCUAAGUCCGCCGCUCAAAGUGCUCAGGCUGCCAAUGUUGCUUUAGCCGCCUCUUUGAGGGCUAGGAUGCUUUUGGUACUUGGAAUACUUCAAGAUUUUCUUCUGCUGCCGCGCUUCUGAGGCCGGAGAUUGCUUAUUUGAAUAAUGUGUAACAACUUCAUCGGUAAAUCUUGGACAUUGUGAAAUUAAAAUGAAGUAAGUUUACGUGUUCGUAAACGUAACUAAAUCCGCCGCUCAAAGUGCUCAGGCUGCCAAUGUUGCUUUAGCCGCCUCUUUGAGGGCUAGGCUGCUUUUGGUACUUGGAAUACUUCAAGAUUUUCUUCUGCUGCCGCGCUUCUGAGGCCGGAUCUUGCUUAUUUGAAUAAUGUGUAACAACUUCCUAAACAAAUAAUAGCAUCGGUAACACUUACUAUGCAGAUAUAAAUGGCGUCCCAUCUUGGACAUUGUGAAAUUAAAAUUAAGUAAGUUUACGAGUUCGUAAACGUAACUAACUCCUCCGCUCAAAAUGCUCAGGCUGCCAAUGUUGCUUUAGCCGCCUCUGUGGACUAGGUUGCUUUUGUUACUUGGAAUACGCCACGAUUUUCUUCUGCUGCAUCGGUAACGCUUACUACGCAGAUAUAAAUGGAGUCCAAUCUUGGCCAUUGUGAAAUGAAAAUAAAGCCGCCAUAGGGCAACCGGACACUGGACAUUUUACUAUGACGACUGGUUCAAAUAAAUAUGCCGCUGUUGCUGUUCAACAAUGUAUACAGGCUUAGUUCGCAGAUUGAAAUGGCGUCCCAUCUUGGUCAUUAUUAAAUUAAAAUAAGGCCGCCAUACAGCAACCAAUCACGACAUUUUGUUACGACGGCUGAAAAUACAAAUUCCACUGCUGUUAUCACCGCUCUCGCCAGAGGUCUUUUUCCAGAGACGUCUUUU